rnacentral:lncRNA from 1 species
UACAAUCAAAGCUAGUAUCCAGAAUAGAUAUUUUGGACAAAAAGAAGAAAAUUUUAUUUUUCGGUGAAUAGUGCCGUAUUCGUGAAUAGUGUCGUAUACGUGAAUAGUGCCGUAUACGUGAAUAGUAACCCCGACACAACAAGUUCCAAAUUUGAUAAAAAAGUUCACCAAUACUUCGGCAUAAUGAUAUUGAAGAAAAAAUAUCAUUUAAGAAGAAAAUAAUACCCCUUACCUCAAAAUAACCGUACUUCUGACUGAAUUUCGGUAUAGUGCUGACAGAAACCCGCACCGUAUAGCAACACUCAAAGUAUACUCACAAGAAUACGCUCGAUAAUUUAGAGAGAG